rnacentral:rRNA from 1 species
AUUGAACGCUGGCGGCAUGCCUUACACAUGCAAGUCGAACGGCGGCACGGGGGCAACCCUGGUGGCGAGUGGCGAACGGGUGAGUAACGCAUCGUAAUGUACCCAGUAGUGGGGGAUAACUAGUCGAACGAUUAGCUAAUACCGCAUACGCCCUGAGAUUGAAAGCGGGGGAUCGCAAGACCUCGCGCUAUUGGCGCCGCCGAUGUCCGAUUAGGUAGUUGGUGGGGUAAAGGCCUACCAAGCCUGCGAUCGGUAACUGGUCUGAGAGGACGACCAGUCACACUGGACUGAGACACGGCCCAGACUCCUACGGGAGGCAGCAGUGGGGAAUUUUGGACAAUGGGCGCAAGCCUGAUCCAGCAAUGCCGCGUGUGUGAAGAAGGCCUUCGGGUUGUAAAGCACUUUUGGCGGGAGUGAAACGGCGUUUGCUAAUACCAGACGCUAAUGACGGUACCCGCAGAAUAAGCACCGGCUAACUACGUGCCAGCCGCCGCGGUAA